UGUAAAGGUUGUGAAUUUGUGAAGCCAUGGAGAAUUUUGGUGCAGGAGCUUUUGAGCAUGAUUGAUUCUUGCAUGAUUAACAUCAUCACCAAUGGCUACACUGGAGAUUCCAUGUGACAUUGAUUUGAAAGGGAAGUGGUAAUGUGAAUUAAUCAGCUGAUAUAUAAGUGUCAUCAACCCAGGCUUCAUGACAUGACUUCCCUUUUGUUUUCUUCCUAUGAAUGUGAACACCUCAGAUCUAGAAAUUUGAACUUU